AUUGAACGCUGGCGGCGCGCCUAAUACAUGCAAGUCGAGCGAGAAGACGUAGCAAUACGUUUGUAAAGCGGCGAACGGGUGAGGAAUACAUGGGUAACCUACCCUCGAGUGGGGAAGUAACUAGCCGAAGGUUAGCUAAUACCGCGUACGCUUCUUGGACUUCGGUUCAGGGAGGGAAAGCGAUACCGUGGGUAUCGCGCUCUUGGAUGGGCUCAUGUCCUAUCAGCUUGUUGGNG
rnacentral:rRNA from 1 species